UGCAGGGACUUGCGCGAACGCGGUGCAGCGGGCUCAUAACCCGAAGGUCGCAGGUUCGAAUCCUGCCCCCGCUACCA
rnacentral:tRNA from 1 species